rnacentral:tRNA from 1 species
GUUUAAUUAGUUUAUUAAGAAUGUUGAUUUGUGAUAUCAAAGGUAUAUUGUGGGUUAUAUAUAUAUUAGACU